rnacentral:rRNA from 1 species
UGGAAGUAAAAGUCGUAACAAGGUCUCCGUAGGGUGAGUGACCUCCGACCCCCCGUACCGUCUUGAACCCAUGCUAACGAUUUUCACAGUGAACCUGCGGAGGGAUCAUUACCGAGUGAGGGCCUCCGGGUCCGACCUCCCACCCUUUGUUGUCUGACCGCGUUGCCUCGGGGCGGCCGCCGGUGCCUCGCGCCGGCCGGCCCCUCGGGGGACCCCUCCACGCUGCAUCAUUGCGUCCGAGUCAAUACACGAAUUGAAACAAAACUUUCAACAACGGAUCUCUUGGUUCUGGCAUCGAUGAAGAACGCAGCGAAAUGCGAUAAGUAAUGUGAAUUGCAGAAUUCAGUGAAUCAUCGAAUCUUUGAACGCACAUUGCGCCCCCUGGCAUUCCGGGGGGCAUGCCUGUUCGAGCGUCAUUGUCACCAAUCCAGCCCGGCUGGGUGUUGGGCGCCGCGGUCCGCCGCGCGCCCCAAUGUCGCCGGCCGCGCCGUCCGUCCCCUCGCGUUGUGGCUUACCAGUCUCGCGUCGGUGGCCGGACGGGGCGAGCCGUCAACCGUACNUCUCCAGGUUGACCUCGGAUCAGGUAGGGAUACCCGCUGAACUUAAGCAUAUCAAUAAGCGGAGGA